AUUGAACGCUGGCGGAAUGCUUUACACAUGCAAGUCGAACGGCAGCACGGGGGCAACCCUGGUGGCGAGUGGCGAACGGGUGAGUAAUACAUCGGAACGUGCCCAGUCGUGGGGGAUAACGUAGCGAAAGUUACGCUAAUACCGCGUACGAUCUACGGAUGAAAGCGGGGGACCGUAAGGCCUCGCGCGAUUGGAGCGGCCGAUGUCAGAUUAGGUAGUUGGUGAGGUAAAGGCUCACCAAGCCGACGAUCUGUAGCUGGUCUGAGAGGACGACCAGCCACACUGGGACUGAGACACGGCCCAGACUCCUACGGGUGGCAGCAGUGGGGAACUUUGGACAAUGGGCGCAAGCCUGAUCCAGCCAUUCCGCGUGCAGGACGAAGGCCUUCGGGUUGUAAACUGCUUUUGUACGGAACGAAAAGGCUCUGGUUAAUACCUGGGGCUCAUGACGGUACCGUAAGAAUAAGCACCGGCUAACUACGUGCCAGCCGCCGCAGUAA
rnacentral:rRNA from 1 species